rnacentral:rRNA from 1 species
GGGGCGGCGUCUACCAUGCAGUCGAGCGAGAAGUUCCCGCAAGGGGAUGAGUACAGCGGCGAACGGGUGAGUAACACGUGGGCAACCUACCCUUCAGUCAGGAAUAACCCCGCGAAAGCGGGGCUAAUACCAGAUGACGUCCCUUGGGGGCAUCUCCGGGGGACCAAAGGGGGCGAGCGCAAGCAGCUCCCGCUGAUCGAUGGGCCUGCGGCUGAUUAGCUAGUUGGUGGGGUGACGGCCUACCAAGGCGACGAUCAGUAGCCGACCUGAGAGGGUGACCGGCCACACUGGGACUGCGACACGGCCCAGACUCCUACGGGAGGCAGCAGUGGGGAAUAUUGCGCAAUGGGCGAAAGCCUGACGCAGCGACGCCGCGUGGGUGAUGAAGGCCUUCGGGUCGUAAAACCCUGUCGGGUGGAACGAAUCUCCAUUCUGCAAAUAGUGGGAUGGAUUGACGGUACCACCGAAGGAAGCCCCGGCUAACUACGUGCCAGCAGCCGCGGUAAUACGUAGGGGGCGAGCGUUGUUCGGAUUUACUGGGCGUAAAGAGCGCGUAGGUGGUCCAAUAAGUCGGAGGUGAAAUCCCUCGGCUCAACCGAGGAUCCGCGUCCGAUACUGUCGGACUUGAGUGCAGGAGAGGAGAGCGGAAUUCCCAGUGUAGCGGUGAAAUGCGUAGAUAUUGGGAGGAACACCGGUGGCGAAGGCGGCUCUCUGGACUGCUACUGACACUGAGGCGCGAAAGCUAGGGGAGCAAACGGGAUUAGAUACCCCGGUAGUCCUAGCCGUAAACGAUGGGCACUAGGUGUGGGAGGUAUCGACCCCUUCCGUGCCGCAGCUAACGCAUUAAGUGCCCCGCCUGGGGAGUACGGCCGCAAGGUUGAAACUCAAAGGAAUUGACGG